CAGACAUAGUGAGAUGCCUAGUGUUUGCUAUUGUGGUAGGGAUUGUUACUUGUCUGGGAAAUUAAAGAGAGGGAUGGAAAUGUGAUGGAUGGGUUUCCCAUCUUUCUGUUUAUCAAUUCUCUUUUGAGGUGACCAUCGUUGCCCAAUAAUAUUUGUUCGAGUAUUAUUUGAGCUACAUCUGGACUCCACACUCAUAUAGCCACUGCAACACAUUCGCAUGAGUUUGCACGCUCACAAGUUAUUGAAGUGUAGACUUGAAUGUUUGUUGUUAAUUCAUAAUUGUGCCAAUGCUCUUGCUUGUUGAAAGUUUUUAAUGUUUCUUUUACUUGAAUUGAACGGCCGUGAUUCGACCAGACAUAGUCAGAUGCCUACUUUCUAUUGUGGUAGGGAUUGUUACUCGUCUGGAAAAUCAAUGUGAGGAAAGGAAGUAUGAUGGAUGGGUUUCCUAUCUUUGUAUUCACCUUCUCUAGAAGUUGUCCAUCUUUGCCCAAUGUUAUGUAGUUAGGGGAAAUUCUUAGGUGGACUCUUUUCACCAUGGACCAAAGCAUCUCCAAGUCACAAACACAUGGGUUCCUUCAUGAAAAAAAAAAAAGUAGAUGGGACCCACUUGUUUGUGUCUUGGAAGUGCCUUAGUCCAUGGUGGACUGGGUCCAGACAAGUAUUUCUCUGUGGUUAGUUGUUUUUUGAGCUACAUCUGGACUGCACAUUUCCUUCUACAUCUGGAAUGCGCAUUUCCUUCCACCCAUUUUCCCUUUUUAUUGUAUAGUUGUUGAUACAUAAUUAAGUCUUUGAUGCAUGCAAAAAUAUGAUGCCAUUUUCAAAAAUAUCUGCAUAGGCAAAGGCUGAUUCUGUCUAUAUAUGUUGUCUUUGGUGUCUUGACAUGGCUAGCUGGUUUAGAUGUUUAUGAAUAUUGUUCUCAUGUUUUUGAAAGUCAUGGCUUUACUAGAAUUAAUAAAAUAAUGAUGCCUACCCACUUCUCAAAAAAAGAUUGAAGUCCAUUAUUUUUUUUUUUUUGAAAGGAAGUCCUGUAUUUAGUAAGGCUUCUUCUCCUCUAUUGCUGCAAUUCAUUCUGUUUAUUGUUUUUAGUCUCAUGAAAUAUGUAUAUUUUUCUUUUAAACUUUGGAAUUUUAUCAAUUCUGUACUUUACAGGGAAGGCAGCUGAGUAAGCUAAACAAUAGAGGAGAAUGAGCACAGUACACAUACUGCCUCAGAGAUUGUGGAUGUGCUUUAACAUUGAUACUAUGGUUCUGCCGGCCCUCAAAGACAGGAGAAUAUAAGAUGUGCUAGACGUUCUUUGACAUCAGUUUUCUCAAUUGGAUAUUGAGGCGGAAAGAGAAGCCAUGGCAAUUAACCUAGACAGCAUGCUGCAAUCAAUUACUAAUGAUAAUGGGCAAUGGAGGUGGUGGAGGCAGUGAUGGAUCCUGGAUGCGGACUCCAGUGCAUUUGCCCAUGCACCCAAAGUUGUUGCUACCGCAUGCCUCAACGCACUUUAACAGGUUCGGCAAAUCUGAUAUUGCACAUUUGAUGCCACACAUGAUAACAUUUUGCCCACAAUCUCCCAAGCAUAUUCCCAGCGAAUCAUUACUACCAUGAACCUGUACUGCCAAAAAUACUGUCAGCAGCAGCAGCAGCGAUGCAAGAAGGCGCGGUGAUGAGUUGGCCUGUGAAUCCAUUCUGGUUCUCCAACUUCUAGUAGAGAGGUUGAAUUUGAAAAGCUCAGUGUUUAUAUACAUGGAGGUGAGAUGGUUAUCAAUUUACGUUUAAAGUGUUUUGCUCAUGCAGGAGGGAUGACUGUUAUUGAACUUUGGCAACACGGCAAGAUAGAAUGAAAGAUAUUGUGCAUGUGAUCUUCAGCCAUGGUGCUUCACUUAGAAAGGAAAGGCCAUUGAGGUUCUUCUAUAAUUUAUCACAGUUUAAAAUUCAAAUUGAAAGCACAUAUCUAUUGUUUCUACCUUUACUUCUGGCAUGUCUAUCGUUUUUUUUUUUUUUUUUUUUUUUUAAAUUAUUUUAAUAAUCUGCAUGUUCAAACUCAAAA